rnacentral:hammerhead_ribozyme from 1 species
AUCCAGAUGUCGAGUCCCAGAUGGGACGAAACGCGCGUCCUGGAU